rnacentral:misc_RNA from 1 species
CCAAUAGCGUAUAUUAAAGUUGUUGCAGUUAAAAAGCUCGUAGUUGAAUUUUGGAUUCUACCAAUCGGUCCAUCUUUUGAUGAGUACUGGUUGUGUGGGGUCUAUCCGCCUGGUAAUACGUAAUGUCCUUUAUUGGAUGUUGCGGGUAGUCAGGACCUUUACCUUGAAAAACUUAGAGUGUUUAAAGCAGGCUUAUGCCGGAAUACAUUAGCAUGGAAUAAUAGAAUAGGACGAAGUUGUUUUAUUUUGUUGGUUUCUAGGACAACCGUAAUGAUUAAUAGGGAUAGUUGGGGGCAUUAGUAUUCAAUUGUCAGAGGUGAAAUUCUUGGAUUUAUUGAAGACUAACUAUUGCGAAAGCAUUUGCCAAGGAUGUUUUCAUUAAUCAAGAACGAAAGUUAGGGGAUCGAAGACGAUCAGAUACCGUCGUAGUCUUAACCAUAAACUAUGCCGACUAGGGAUCGGGCGAUGUUGUUUCAAUGACUCGCUCGGCACCUUAUG